GUGGGGACAUCAUUCACAGAAUUUCUGUGACUAAAAGAUGAUUUCCUCAGUAUGUUGAGGUAUAAUGCUAGGUUUAAAUGCUGAAUAGGCUACACUGAACCACUGAGGAAACUGGAAAUAUGCGAAUAAGGCCGCUGGUACACAGGCUAGUAAGCUGAUGGGAGCUGCAAUCCAUUCCACUUUUUGAGAAAGGACAAUAUGAAGGGAAGCACCAAACGCUGCAAACAUAGUUGCUAUUGAAAAGAAUAGAGAGAUAAAACCAAAGGUGAACAAUUUGAAAGAUCUGACAGCAUUUUCUUCUGAAUAGUCUGAAUUGAAUAUGCAUAUAAACAUCAGCAAUGAAGUGGAUGAAGAGAAGAAUGCCA
rnacentral:misc_RNA from 1 species